rnacentral:lncRNA from 1 species
CAAUCCAAUUUUGGGACAGCCUUUAGACCGUUUGAGCCCAACAAAUCGAACCUUUUAAGUCUUUUUUGCAAAAUGAAAGUGUUAUCAUCAACAAUUGAAGCCUCAAAUCAUUAUAUGAUUUUAAUUAUUAUUUAGUUUAUUCAUUUUGAUCCACAAUAAGCAAUAACCUUAUCUAGCUUUUAUUGUUAUUAAGAAUAUUACAUUAAAAACCCUCCAAAAUUAAUUAUUAUCCCAUAGAUACUUGACAUUUCAACUUCCCAAUUAAUACUGAUAUAGUCUUUGAUAAUUAACAUCUAAACCUAUCUAUAAAUAAGGAUUAAGAAUUUGAGAUUAUUCAAUUAUUCACUUUUCGAUUCAACAAUUUAUCUUCAGAUGGAAGAUUCAAACUUCCUCCAAAUUCUCAUUAAUCUGAAUUAAAUCAUGCAAUCCUUCAACUGCCCUAGUGUCUGGAUCAUUGUCAUCAUCUGCAUUUGAAACAUCACGAUGAGAAUCAACAUCAUGAGAAACAUUAAAGAAAACCAAAUAAACUUCUGUAAAAAACUCACGACCAGCAGACAAGACCUGAUGUCAAAAAUUGAGAAGGAGUGAUUUGCCGACGAACAGAGGAGCAACAAAACCAGAGAAGACGAGAGUCGGCGAAACCCUAUAUCGUGAGAGCAGAAUGAAGAAUCGUAAAUGAGAAAACUUUAAAGAAAAAUGAACUGAAAAUACCUGUGAGUGGAAUACCCAAUUAAUUCUGACAGCUUGCCUUAUAUAAUACAUUGGCUGGAUAAUUAAUCGGAUAUCUUG